CCCAGACUCCUACGGGAGGCAGCAGUGAGGAAUAUUGGUCAAUGGGCGAGAGCCUGAACCAGCCAAGUCGCGUGAAGGAUGACGGCCCUACGGGUUGUAAACUUCUUUUGUCAGGGAGCAAUUGGGUCCACGCGUGGGCUUAGCGAGAGUACCUGAAGAAAAAGCAUCGGCUAACUCCGUGCCAGCAGCCGCGGUAAUACGGAGGAUGCGAGCGUUAUCCGGAUUUAUUGGGUUUAAAGGGUGCGUAGGCGGGCUUUUAAGUCAGCGGUAAAAAUUCGGGGCUCAACCCCGUCCGGCCGUUGAAACUGGGGGCCUUGAGUGGGCGAGAAGAAGGCGGAAUGCGUGGUGUAGCGGUGAAAUGCAUAGAUAUCGCGCAGAACUCCGAUUGCGAAGGCAGCAUGCCGGCUCCACACUGACGCUGAGGCACGAAAGCGUGGGUAUCGAACAGGAUUAGAUACCCCAGUAC
rnacentral:rRNA from 1 species